rnacentral:rRNA from 1 species
UACGUAGGGGGCGAGCGUUGUCCGGAGUUACUGGGCGUAAAGGGCAUGCAGGCGGUCCGACACGUUUUGUGCGACAGCGGGUGGCUUAACUACCCGAGGAUACGAAAGACGGUAGGACUUGAGGACUCGAGAGGGACACGGAAUUCCGGGUGGAGUGGUGAAAUGCGUAGAGAUCCGGAGGAACACCGAAGGCGAAGGCAGUGUCCUGGCGAGUGACUGACGCUGAGGUGCGAAAGCCAGGGGAGCGAACGGG